AAAAGGACGCUAAUACCGCAUGACAGUCCCGGGGCCGCAUGGCCCUGGGAUCAAAGGAGCAAUCCGCUGAGAGAUGGACUCGCGUCCGAUUAGCUAGUUGGUGAGAUAAAGGCCCACCAAGGCGACGAUCGGUAGCCGGACUGAGAGGUUGAACGGCCACAUUGGGACUGAGACACGGCCCAGACUCCUACGGGAGGCAGCAGUAGGGAAUAUUGCACAAUGGGGGAAACCCUGAUGCAGCGACGCCGCGUGAAGGAAGAAGUAUUUCGGUAUGUAAACUUCUAUCAGCAAGGAAGAAAAUGACGGUACUUGACUAAGAAGCCCCGGCUAAAUACGUG
rnacentral:rRNA from 1 species